UUUAUACAGGUGUUAUUUGCAUUUAAAAUUUUGAUUUUUAAGGUUAAUUUUUAUUAUUAGUAUAAAU
rnacentral:tRNA from 1 species